rnacentral:rRNA from 1 species
CAGUGGCGAACGGGUGAGUAACACGUGGGCAAUCUGCCCUGCACUCUGGGACAAGCCCUGGAAACGGGGUCUAAUACCGGAUACGACCUGCUCCUGCAUGGGGGUGGGUGGAAAGCUCCGGCGGUGCAGGAUGAGCCCGCGGCCUAUCAGCUUGUUGGUGGGGUAAUGGCCCACCAAGGCGACGACGGGUAGCCGNUCUGAGAGGGCGACCGGCCACACUGGGACUGAGACACGGCCCAGACUCCUACGGGAGGCAGCAGUGGGGAAUAUUGCACAAUGGGCGAAAGCCUGAUGCAGCGACGCCGCGUGAGGGAUGACGGCCUUCGGGUUGUAAACCUCUUUCAGCAGGGAAGAAGCGAAAGUGACGGUACCUGCAGAAGAAGCACCGGCUAACUACGUGCCAGCAGCCGCGGUAAUACGUAGGGUGCGAGCGUUGUCCGGANUUAUUGGGGCGUAAAGAGCUCGUAGGCGGCCUGUCGCGUCGGUUGUGAAAGCCCGGGCCUUAACCCCGGGU